GUGCCUGCCUUGGCAGCGCACACCCUGGAGUGGAUGAUCCUGAGAUCAUUAGCAUGGGCCCUGUGUAGGGAUGACACGCAAAUUUGAAAAGUGUUCUGGUUUUUU
rnacentral:snRNA from 14 species